AAAAUGGAACAGUGAGACCGAACUUGUCUUAGAGCUGCCUUUUGGCUUUGAAACAGAUGGCGUUCUCCUUGCUGAAGCUUAUCAAGUCAAUGGCUUCAGUUUGCCAAUCUUCACAUGUGCUGAGGUUUGGUGCAUCAGAGGCUUAACUGUCAGAGCCAUCUGACAGCAGUCACCAAGCAUGUCCUUGAGGUGGAGAAACUAUGUUGCUCAGAGUUCAAGGCAGACUGAUGAUUUUCCAGUAGCGCAAGUUCUCACCUGACUGUCUCUUCCCUCUCUCUUCCUGCUUUUGGUUCCAAACCACUGGGGAGUUGGAUUUUGAAUUUCAAGCCCAGUUUGGCAUGGAGUGAGAAAACGGAGAUGGAAGAAAACUGGCAGCCACAAGCGAAGGUGUAAAAGAAAGGGAGAAUGGGGUUUAUUCCCAUGCUCGGUAGGACUGUGCUUAUACUACUUAUGAUGUUCUUGUCUGCAAGCAGUGGAUCAGUCUGUCAAAAUACUGCUACACUACCGCUCAGCCCUGCAUUGUAGGAGUCAAAGGUCUCCUGCUGCCAGCGAUGACCAGAAGUUUCUAUGGUUCUUGAG